rnacentral:rRNA from 1 species
GGAAGCACCGGCUAACUCCGUGCCAGCAGCCGCGGUAAUACGGAGGGUGCAAGCGUUGUUCGGAUUUAUUGGGCGUAAAGCGCGUGUAGGCGGUUUUUUAAGUCUGACGUGAAAGCCCUGGGCUCAACCCAGGAAGUGCAUUGGAUACUGGCAGACUUGAAUACGGGAGAGGGUAGUGGAAUUCCUGGUGUAGGAGUGAAAUCCGUAGUUAUCAGGAGGAACACCGGUGGCGAAGGCGGCUACCUGGACCGAUAUUGACGCUGAGACGCGAAAGCGUGGGUAGCAAACAGGAUUAGAUACCCUGGUAGUCCACGCCGUAAACGAUGAGAACUAGGUGUCGCGGGUA